CCUACGGGAGGCAGCAGUGAGGAAUAUUGGUCAAUGGACGAGAGUCUGAACCAGCCAAGUAGCGUGAAGGAUGACUGCCCUAUGGGUUGUAAACUUCUUUUAUAAAGGAAUAAAACGAGGCACGUGUGCCUUUUUGCAUGUACCUUAUGAAUAAGGAUCGGCUAACUCCGUGCCAGCAGCCGCGGUAAUACGGAGGAUCCGAGCGUUAUCCGGAUUUAUUGGGUUUAAAGGGAGCGUAGAUGGGUUGGUAAGGCAGGUGGGAAAGUUUGCGGCUCAACCGUAAAAUUGCAAUUGAUACUGGCAGUCUUGAGUACAGUUGAGGUAGGCGGAAUUAGUGGUGUAGCGGUGAAAUGCUUAGAUAUCACGAAGAACCCCGAUUGCGAAGGCAGCUUACUAAACUGUGACUGACAUUGAUGCUCGAAAGUGUGGGUAUCAAACAGGAGUAGAUACCCGAGUAGUC
rnacentral:rRNA from 1 species